CUUAACUGCUAACAAGGUCUAAAUGAAACCAUGGCCAUAGAUAAUGUUUGUUUCUUGCCUGGUGACUGUCCUGACAGGGGGCUGUCUAGUCGGGGGGUUGAUAAAGCUUAGCAUUCACAGGAAUUGGGAGCCAUGGAUGAAGAGACUCCAGCUGUCUGCCAACCAGAACCUGGUCGAUCUUUGGCAAAGUGGUUGACAGCUCCUACUUUGAGACAGUUGGGAAGGCUUGGGGAGAAGCUCUACUCAAUUCUUGAAGGAUACCGGGAACUUUCCAGAAAGCUCGGUGAGAAGCAGAGUGGCAGCUGCCCGAGCUGUGCCCAGCAAUGCGCUCCUUCCUGCUCCCCCACACCGGCCUUGGCCCUCUCACCAGCUGUAGAAAAUGGUGAAAGAAACCACUUACUAUGAUGUUUUGGGGGUCAAACCCAAUGCCACCCAGGAGGAAUUGAAAAAGGCUUUCCAGGAAACUGGUCUUGAAGUUCCACCCUGAUAAGAAUCCAACUGAAGGAGAGAAGUUUAAACAGAUUUCUCAAGCUUAUGGAGUGCUCUCUGAUGCAAAGAAAAGGGAAUUAUUUGACAAAGGAGGAGAACAGGCAAUUAAAGAAGGUGGAGCUGGUGGUGGUUUUGGCUCCCCCACGGACAUCUUUGAUAUGUUUUCUGGAGGAGGCAGGAUGCAGAGAGAACGGAGAGGUAAAAAUGUUGUACAUCAGCUCUCAGUAACCUUAGAAGAUUUAUAUAAUGGCGCAACAAGAAAACUAGCUCUGCAAAAGAAAUGUGUUUUGUGAUAAAUGUGAAGGCCGAGGUGGUAAGAAAGGAACAGUCGAAUGUUGUCCCAAUUGCAGAGGUACUGGAAUGCAAAUAAGAAUUCAUCAGAUAGGACCUGGAAUGGUUCAGCAAAUUCAAUCUGUGUGCAUGGAGUGCCAGGGCCAUGGGGAACGGAUCAGUCCUAAAGAUAGAUGUAAAAGCUGCAAGGAAGGAAGAUAGUUCGAGAGAAGAAGAUUCUAGAAGUGCAUAUUGACAAAGACAUGAAAGAUGGCCAGAAGAUAACAUUCCAUGGUGAGGGGACCAAGAACCAGGACUGGAAUCAGGAGAUAUUAUCAUUGUUUUAGGUCAGAAGGACCAUGCUGUUUUUACUCAGAGAAGAUGAUCUUUUCAUGUGUAUGGAUAUACAGCUGGUUGAAGUCCUGUGUGGCUUUCAAAAGCCAAUAUCUACUCUUGACAACUGAAUCAUCAUCAUCACCUCUCAUCCAGGUCAGAUUGUCAAGCAUGGGGAUAUCAAGUGUGUGUUAAAGGAAGGCAUGCCAAUUUAUCGUAGACCACAUGAGAAGGGUUGCCUAAUCAUCAAAUUUAAGGUUAACUUCCCUGAGAAUGGCUUUCUGUCUCCUGAUAAACUUUCUUUGCUGGAAAAACUCCUACCUGAGAGGAAGGAAGUAGAAGAGACUGAUGAAAUGGACCAGGUAGAACUGGUGGACUUUGAUCCCAAUCAGGAAAGAUGGCGCCAUUACAAUGGGGAAGCAUAUGAGGAUGAUGAACAUCAUCCUAGGAGUGGUGUUCAGUGUCAGACCUCUUAAUGGGGCCAGUGAAUAACACUGCUGCUGGCAUUUUAUAUGCAGUAGUGAAUGAGUGAAGGACUAUAAUCAUAGUUCACUACUUGCUAUGGUUUUUGUUUUAAUAUUCAACUAUAGUAGUGUUUUAAAAGUUAAAUGAAUAAACUCAAAUAUAAAAGCUCA
rnacentral:lncRNA from 1 species